rnacentral:rRNA from 1 species
AGUGAACGCUGGCGGUAGGCCUAACACAUGCAAGUCGAACGGCAGCACAGUAAGAGCUUGCUCUUACGGGUGUCGAGUGGCGGACUGGUGAGUAAUACAUCGGAAUCUACUUUUUCGUGGGGGCUAACGUAGGGAAACUUACGCUAAUACCGCAUACGACCUACGGGUGAAAGCAGGGGAUCUUCGGACCUUGCGCGAUUGAAUGAGCCGAUGUCGGAUUAGCUAGUUGGCGGGGUAAAGGCCCACCAAGGCGACGAUCCGUAGCUGGUCUGAGAGGAUGAUCAGCCACACGGGAAGUGAGACACGGUCCAGACUCCUAAGGGAGGAAGCAGUGGGGAAUAUUGGACAAUGGGGGCAAGCCUGAUCCAGCCAUACCGCGUGGGUGAAGAAGGCCUUCGGGUUGUAAAGCCAUUUUGUUGGGAAAGAAAAGCAGCAGGUUAAUACCCCGCUGUUCUGACGGUACCCAAAGAAUAAGCACCGGCUAACUUCGUG